UUCAAGGUUGGGAUCAUGUUCGGAAUAUAUUUUGGAAGUCCGCAUCUCAUUUAGGCUUGAAAUGCUGAAAUUUGAAUUUUUGAAGUUUCCGGUCCAAUAGUGAGUUUUUGAUCCGAGGGUCGGAAUGGAAUUCCGGAAGCUGCAGUAUCUUCGUCAUGUCAUUGGGAUUUGCGUUCAUAAUUUCAGGUCAUUCGGAUGUGUUUUGGUAAGGUUUUUGAUCGAAAGUGUAUUUUGAUGGAAUUAGAAGUUCUUAGGUUCAAAUCCUUGAUUUAUUCGAGUUUCCGACGUUGCUUUAGGUGGUUUAAGGGUUGGCUACAAGUUUGAAUUGUAUUAUCGGAUAUUUCCAUAGGUUUGGUUAAGGUCACGGGGACCUCGG
rnacentral:lncRNA from 1 species